GAUGAACGCUGGCGGCGUGCCUAACACAUGCAAGUCGAGCGAUUUACUUCGGUAAAGAGCGGCGGACGGGUGAGUAACGCGUGGGUAACCUGCCCUGUACACACGGAUAACAUACCGAAAGGUAUGCUAAUACGAGAUAAAAUACUUUUAUCGCAUGGUAGAAGUAUCAAAGCUUUUGCGGUACAGGAUGGACCCGCGUCUGAUUAGCUAGUUGGUAAGGUAACGGCUUACCAAGGCGACGAUCAGUAGCCGACCUGAGAGGGUGAUCGGCCACAUUGGAACUGAGACACGGUCCAAACUCCUACGGGAGGCAGCAGUGGGGAAUAUUGCACAAUGGGCGCAAGCCUGAUGCAGCAACGCCGCGUGAGCGAUGAAGGCCUUCGGGUCGUAAAGCUCUGUCCUCAAGGAAGAUAAUGACGGUACUUGAGGAGGAAGCCCCGGCUAACUACGUG
rnacentral:rRNA from 1 species